rnacentral:rRNA from 1 species
AUUGAACGCUGGCGGCAGGCCUAACACAUGCAAGUCGAGCGGAUGAAGGGAGCUUGCUCCUGGAUUCAGCGGCGGACGGGUGAGUAAUGCCUAGGAAUCUGCCUGGUAGUGGGGGAUAACGUCCGGAAACGGGCGCUAAUACCGCAUACGUCCUGAGGGAGAAAGUGGGGGAUCUUCGGACCUCACGCUAUCAGAUGAGCCUAGGUCGGAUUAGCUAGUUGGUGGGGUAAAGGCCUACCAAGGCGACGAUCCGUAACUGGUCUGAGAGGAUGAUCAGUCACACUGGAACUGAGACGCGGUCCAGACUCCUACGGGAGGCAGCAGUGGGGAAUAUUGGACAAUGGGCGAAAGCCUGAUCCAGCCAUGCCGCGUGUGUGAAGAAGGUCUUCGGAUUGUAAAGCACGUUAAGUUGGGAGGAAGGGCAGUAAGUUAAUACCUUGCUGUUUUGACGUUACCAACAGAAUAAGCACCGGCUAACUUCGUG